rnacentral:rRNA from 1 species
GACGAACGCUGGCGGCGUGCUUAACACAUGCAAGUCGAACGGUGAAGGGGUCUGCUUUUGUGGGCCCUGGAUGAGUGGCGCACGGGUGAGUAACACGUGAGUAACCUGCCCCCUUCUUCUGGAUAACCGCAUGAAAGUGUGGCUAAUACGGGAUAUUCUGGGUCUGUCGCAUGAUGGGUCUGGGAAAGAUUGCGCCUUUGGGUGUUUUUGGUGGGGGAUGGGCUCGCGGCCUAUCAGCUUGUUGGUGGGGUGAUGGCCUACCAAGGCGGGGACGGGUAGCCGGCCUGCGAGGGUGGACGGUCACACUGGGACUGAGACACGGCCCAGACUCCUACGGGAGGCAGCAGUGGGGAAUAUUGCACAAUGGGCGCAAGCCUGAUGCAGCGACGCCGCGUGAGGGAUGGAGGCCUUCGGGUUGUAAACCUCUUUCGCCAGUGAAGCAGGCCUGCUCCUUGUGGGUGGGUUGACGGUAGCUGGAUAAGAAGCGCCGGCUAACUACGUG